ACUCAAAUGAAUUGACGGGGGCCCGCACAAGCAGUGGAGUAUGUGGUUUAAUUCGACGCAACGCGAAGAACCUUACCGGGAUUUGACAUCCUGCUAACGAAGCAGAGAUGCAUUAGGUGCCCUUCGGGGAAAGCAGAGACAGGUGGUGCAUGGUUGUCGUCAGCUCGUGUCGUGAGAUGUUGGGUUAAGUCCCGCAACGAGCGCAACCCUCACGGUUAGUUGCUACGCAAGAGCACUCUAGCCGGACUGCCGUUGACAAAACGGAGGAAGGCGGGGACGACGUCAAAUCAUCAUGCCCCUUACAUCCCGGGCUACACACGUACUACAAUGGCGGACAUACAACGGGUAGCAACACAGCGAUGUGAAGCCAAUCCCUAAAAAGCCGUCUCAGUUCGGAUCGCAGGCUGCAACUCGCCUGCGUGAAGUCGGAAUUGCUAGUAAUCGCGGAUCAGCAUGCCGCGGUGAAUACGUUCCCGGGCCUUGUACACACCGCCCGU
rnacentral:rRNA from 1 species